AGUUGCUGCUGUGGUGUUUUGCCUUUCCUUCUGAUUCCCCUUUUCCAUACAAAGAUGAAGCAAGUGACUACAAACAGGACGGCAGUCAUCACUUCCCACGUGUGCAUGUCCAGCCGCGUCCUCGAUUACUAAGGCAGAGCACGGAGAGGGAGGCGAUCGCCACACGUGUCUUUGCAGUUACCACUUUCCCUCCAACCACUGCUACAUGAUUGAACUCUGGCAUCAACUCUGCAAAGCUCCUCAGCAUAUGAUUAAGACGGAGUGACUUCGUGGGAGCAUAAACAUUUGCUUAAGUCCAGCAGGUGCCUGAGACCCAAAGACAGCUCUUGUUGAGCUCCCAAGGAUGUCAGCGGCACAGGACUGGGUACUCAGAGCGAUACUUUUCUGAUCAGGUAGAGAAGAUUGCUUCAGAAGAGAUAACUGUGCUGUAAAAGUGCUUACCUCUCCCCCUAGAGAGUAUGGUGGGGACCAGUUCUGAGGCAGCUAUCUGCACCAGGUCUGUCUGAGCCCUGGGCCCUGCUUUGUUCUCCCAGUUAAGUAAGGAAAAGGCAGAAUCAGAGAAAAGCAAAUCGAGUGAGCUUGGCUCCACACAGAACCACGUGGAAGCUUGAGUUUGCUUGGGUUGGCAUAGCUUAAGUAACUAAAGAUCCAAGUGUGGCCUAAAAUACACUUAAAUGCCACAGUCACAACAGAAAUAAAAUAAUUCCAUGGGUACUUAACCAGCCAGAUACAUACAUGCACUCCUCUCUGCAUUUUCCUGGACAGAAAGUGUAGGCUGUGACCUCUCCAAGAUCUUUUUGAGUACCAUCUUCCCUAGCACAUCUGGGAUGUGGUGGGACCUGACCUCUGCAAGUCCCAGCCGUGGAGCCUUGCUCCUGAGCAGCCUGCUGCUCCACAGUCCUCGUUCAACAGGUGCCACGUGAGAAGCUCAGGUGCUUACACUGACUGCAGCUGCAGCAACACGAGUACAUACAGCAAAAAAUGAGUCUGAGACCCUCUGAUUACCACUGCCACCUCCAUCUGAAGAGCUUGACAGCCAUUGUAAAUCUCAAAGUCCUGAGUAGAGAUCGCUUGACAUGGAUUUAGUAGCUAUCAUUUCUCCCAUGCCCUGAAGUCAUAUUUUCUCACCAGAGCUGCCAUUUGGAAAGUAUGCUGCUCAGCCAAGCAGCAGAAGUUAAGCAACAAUUUGAAGUAGCUCUCACACCGCUGAUGAGACUGGUCCAGAUCUCCAUCUUGUACUUUAUUUCCAAAACCCAAGGAAAACAACCAGCCCAGCCUGGCUCCUCCAUGGGCAUUGGCAUGCCACAGGGUCCUUCAGGAGGCUGACCCUUGGGCCCUGCUUGCUGUCACGUGCGCCGGGUGACGUGGGUAAAUAUGUGAUGUUGUGCUCUUUGGACAGGUGCUGUUUGCCAACCUUUAGAAGAGAUCAAGGCUCUUGUUUCACAACCGAAGGGGGGAACAACUAAGGCAUUUGGGAGUUGGUCCUGUCUGAGUACACACAGUUUUGUUGCUGAAUGGGACAUCUAAAUUGUUCAGUCUUCAGGUAUCCAUUUCCAUCAGUAGUAUAGGGUGACACAGAAACCUCUUACAUGGAGCAAAAGACAAAAAAAAAAAAAUCCCAACUAACAGUUAGGGAUUAAGAUUACUUUGGACCUAUGAAUUUUAAAUUAUCUUCUCAAAUUCAGAAGGGCUGCCUGCAGAGAGGGAGGAAAUAGCCUGGACUAUCUCACACAUCUAAGGCAUUAACCAGGGUCAGCAAAAGCUAAAACAGACCUCCAUGAUAAGUGACGCGUUUGAAACCUAUUCACCAGCACUCCUUGCCUGCGUGGAUUCUCUGAUGCCCAGACAAUAAUGACUUUGUCAGCCAUUGCCUCCCAUCAUGAUAACUCUCACUCAAAAAUGAAGAAUUAAACCACUGUAUUUGCACAUUAUUGAGAUAGGAUAGACACACACGUGCCUGCAAACUUCCUAAGAUUAUGUAUUAACCGUAUGAAACAAAGCUAAUUUAUCUGCUAGAGCAGAAGAUAGCACAGCAGCUAUUCCUAGCUUUGAAAAUGUAUACAAUCAGAAGUGCUUACUGAAAACCCUAGCAGCACGUAUGCUGUUGUCUAAGAGGAAUCCCUGUUAUGCAUCUUCACCCAUACAAAAGACAAAGGGUUUGCCUGCUCAUCUCUCUGAUGAGCGCAGACACAUAGUACAGCUACCCACUUUGUGAUGUCAUUGAAAUCAAAGGCAAAAUCUCCCUGCACUUUAGUGGAGCAGUCAAGUGCAUAUUGAGCUCCUGCCCAGCCACAUAAUGUAAGAGUAUGAGGGCAUCAGAGUGGUGAACAAAUGUAGGAAAAAUCCACACAUGUUCCCCUCUUCUAAACCCCUUUCUCUCUGCACCUCUUGCAGGCUGGAUGCAGGAGAACCACCUCCUGGAGAGUUUGUACAUGGCAUGGUCACCACCACUGCAAGGCGUCUCAUUGCCCUGCUCUGCUGGUGCUGCACUGGCAGAGCUGGAUACUCAGCACCAUGCUUCAGAUUCCAGUGUUUCCACCAGACACCUGUUUUUGUGCCAUUAACCCAAUUAAAUGUUGUCUCAGUGAAAGCAAGAGACCUUUCCCCAGCAAUCCCAGGUGGGGCAAGAAGUCCACUGUGCCAUAAGAUGCCCAUAGUCUGUGAAAGCUGCUUUCAUGGUUAUUGCUCAGCAACCUUGGCCAUGAUUUUGCUCAGGUCUACUGAACUUCUCCAUCUGCAGGGGAUGGCUGCAGCGUGCUGUGCUAGCACGGGGAAGCAGGUGGACCAAAGCAUCUCAGGGUGCUGGUCCUCCUGCCAGCACACUGCUCACUGGACACUACUGGUUGAGCAGUCCUGGGGCCUGGCUGAUGCCCUGGCAGGAAAGCAUGUUUGAAGCUGAGAAGCACUGCUCAUGGCACUGAGAAGCACAUGGCCUGCAGCUCUUCUUUGUGAAGUCUCAGUGAAUGUCUGAAGUCAGUCAUGAGCUCCGCUGAAAGACUUAGGAAUUCAUUCCCUUGCAAGCUCAUUGAGGAGGAUUUUCUCUGUAAUAUCUCAAUCCCGCUUUAUAAUAAGAAACUAAUUACCUUAAAUGAAGUCUCAGUGCAACUAGUGAACUAGUAGUAAUGUAUAAUCAUCUUUCGUAUCAACAGGAUAGCAAGUAAUUGGCUACUUUCCUGCAAUCUUCGCCUCGGCUCACCUUGGUAUAUAAUCACUUCACUGCCCUGCCUCAAACUUCCCUUCUGUGCCAAGUAAAUAAGAGUGCAAUCUUUUCCAUUGAUUUUAAGAGGCUUGGGAGCAAGCCCUGCACAUGUGGGAAUUAUGGCUGCAGUGUGGUGGUGCUGCCUGCAGUCUCCUCUGAAGCUCUCAUUUGCAGAGCUCAUCACACACCGAUGUGUACCAGAAAUGCACAUAUUAGCUCCCCGUAAAUAUACCCGAUAUGUGAUAACAGCAGGACAAUGUAUUUUUGUGACCCGGUAUUCACUAAAAAGGCAGAUGAUUUUCACAGAUGCAGAUCACUGAGUCUGACCCAGUAAAGCAAACUAAGGUCAGGACAAACGAUUCAACUCAAUCAGUUCAUGAGAGUGUUUCAGCAAUGCUGUGUUUGGGAUCAUUUAGUGAAAUUAAGCAAUUAGUGCAUUUCUGAUAGUUACAAGAAGCUGCUGUUUCCUUUUCUGAUCAUGCUCCAGGAUGCCUUGGGGUUUUCCAGGUUUAACACUGCUGUCUGCCUGGAAACACUUGAAUGUGCUUUAGUUGUUUCCUUGAGAAAUGUGCCUGCCACCAGCUGGGGACUACUUUCCAUGGCUGAUCCCAGUGUCUCUUUCCUGGAGUAAUUUACUCCAUAUAUAAUACUUCAGUAAUCACCGGAGCAGAGCCUGGUCCCCAGCUGCCAGUUUACCAUUCCUAUGGCUUUCCUCUCCUCGUCCCCCAGUUAAUGUUUAAAUAUUGAAUAAUUAUUCUUUAUUGAAAAAUAUUUAAGUGGGAGAGGUAUGCUUCUGACGGCUCUUGCAAGAAAGACUGCUGAGAGGGAUUUGAAAGAGAGGGGAAUUUGAUUUGAAUCCAAAGGUAAAUCAGAGUGAGGAUUUGACCUGCAUCUCUCAUCCCUUGAAUGAAUGUCCCUGUUACAGGACUAUAGAAUUGAAGAACAAUACCUUUGCACCUCACUACAGGCAGCCAAACUUUUGGAGAGUAUUUGUUUAUUCAUUUUUUCCAAUGUUUAUAAACAUGUUUAUUCAUGUUUAUUUAGAGAUUACAUCUCUGGGAUCCCUCAAAGGCAGUAUCAGGACCACUCUCCAUCAAAUCCAAACCCCUGGAAGUGCAGAGACCCUCUGUAAAUGAAAGCAUCCUGUCGUGCCUUAUUGCGGCUGCUGUGGACAUCGGGUACUCUCCACAGUGUGCACGACAGCUGCGGAGUGGCUCAGCAGCCACCCUGGGCAACAUCGUUGAUUCCCCACCCCUAGUUUUUUUUCAGGCAGAGAAGUGAAUACAUCUGCUAUUUGUCUUUCAGCACUUGGAAAAUUCAGUGUGCAUUUGCUCUUUGGGUUUUAUUGCAACAGGCCCAGUUCUCCCUAACCCCACCAACCUGUUUGGUCCUAAAUCUAAGUAUGAGAGUCAACAUUUCUGUAUACUCAUGCUUAUUUGAUGACAUUUUUUUUCCCCAGGGAUGCAUGAUCACUCGUUGAAAUAGCGCAGAAAACUAUGGUCACACCUGAACGUCACCAUGCAUUUUUUGCCAUAGGAUUGCCCAUUUCAGCACGGUGCCUCUAUGGUAUAUGGCAGGCACCCUUGUCCAACAGACACAUGCCCACAGCAGUACUUUUGCUUUACAGAGAUUGCAAAAUGAGCAGGGACACUGUGGAACAAUGAUGCAACAGGACCAUGCUGCAACCUGUGCCUCCAAAUUCCUGUGUGAUCCUUAUCUCAGCUUCAACAUGGGCAGCUGGGCCCACUGGGUCAGCCCUGAUCUAAUGUUGCAGGAAUGCUGUGGCUACUGCUCUAUCCUUUGCCUUAUUUAAGCUAUGUUAAAGCAUACAUAUGGCCUCCUCCUGAACGUCACUCAUAGGAGCUUAGUCUGUUUUUUUUGAGAAGUGUCAAAACCCAAUGGGAGCUGAGUGCCAAGCUCCCUCAGGCUCCUUUGAAAAUAUCUGACUUAAGUCUUAUUUGCAAAGGAUGCUCAAACAGGUGCAGAACCAAUGCACUUGAACCAAGCACUUUUACAUAGAGAUGUUCCCUGACAACAUUGGUGACUUUUCUGUACUCUUCCUACGUAUAAAAUUAAGAGGAACUCCUUUUCGUCUUCCCUCCAUCUGAUUGUGGAGUUUUCUUGGUCUCUCCUUGCCACUGUAAGCCUCCACAUCAGCUUCUCCACUGCACUAGGAUUUGUGUUUAUUCUAGUCUCUCAUUCAGGACACAGUAGUCGUGACUUACCCAAACAAGGAUUUUACUGCAUUUUUAUUUGUAAAGGUGCUGAAAGGUGCACAGGAUCACAGCUGUGGAGCCAGGUGAGUGUCUCGUGGCCCUGUGUUACACAGCAAAAGGAGGAAAGGGCAACACCUCUCAUACCUAGGCCAGUAAUUCAGAUGGGAGGAGAGAAACGGAAAAAGUUUCUUAUGAGGAGAGCUGGUCAGGAGCACUAAGACUCUACAGAUAAGUUGCCUCCCUGAAGGACAUGAGGUGAGGACUGAAAUCCAGGUGUACCCUUUCCUUGAGAUGUGCCUCACCCGUGUGCUUGGAGCCACCCUCACCUGUCCUCCAGCCCCCUAAUUAUCCAGGAAGUGGGACAGCUUCAACUGAGAAGAGCACAACACUGGCCAAGAGGUGGUCAAGGUAGUUAGAGUACAGCAGGAGGAGAUACACUUUCAGUUCUCAUCAGGCAUGGAAUAGAAAAAGUCUGCCCAUCCUUUGGUCUGAAGAUGAUCAGUCUGGUAGUUUGCUCCAAGGUCACCUGCCAGCUUCUUGCCAUUGAGAUGGGGAAGGGCAGGAGCUUGUAGAUCCCACCUUGCUUUUGUUUGACUUGUUGCUUAAUGCUGUCAACGUGUGGCCAGCUCUAGAGCUACCCAGAGCCAGAAAGCAGGCUGCCAAAUGGGAUUUUUUACUUUGUUCAUGGGAGCCCAUUGGCUUGUCAUAUCCUUUUGAAAUGCUGGUCCAUAAUGUUUCUGCUUCCCAACUGUAAAAAUAGGAUAGUUCCCAGCUUUUGGGACUGUUUGGAAAAGAAUGACAUUUCCAGCUGUGAAAGAGCUCGGAGUCAUCACUACAAAGUGUGGCUUGGCGUACGUGCACGUGUAUCAGUGAAUGCCUAGGAUACAGGUGUUAAUAGAUGCCAUGGAUACAAUAAAGCAGAAGACUUGUUCCCUGAUGCAGCGCUAUUUCUUUCUCUUUAUUCAUAUUACACUUAUUAUAAUGCUAUCAGCGUGAAGAGGGUUAUAAUAAUGAGGGCAGCAGAGAUAAGAUCCUAUGCCUGCGCAGGCUGCUGGUACUUUGCACACAGCUUGUUCCUAUUCAAUGGCUUAGAUGUACUUAAACCCUAUCCUAAUACUUUAUCACUUUAAGCCUCUUAUGGCUUUAAUGCUUCAAAAAUACACCCUGGACCAAUCAGCCUGACAAACCGGAAAGAGAGGAACAGCUGAGACUUUUGAUGGCGCUUGGGGCUUGUGCCUUGCACACCCAGCCAAGGGGAGCUGGGGUCCUCAGAAAAACCCCAGAGGUCAGGCAGGGUCCUCCCAGGGCAGGAGUGGGCUCCCUGACCUGCACCUCUGGGGAGUGGGACAGUGCUGGGGCGCAUAAGUGCGGGAACGCAUCCCUUGCUAGGAGAUGGGGGAGGGAGGUGGGUCCGUGGUGCUGUAAAUGAAAGCCUCUGCGCAUCGGUGGGCUGUUUGAAAGUGGGAGUUCCCCCUUGGUGUUGACACCCUUUCUCUUGGAACAGGCACAGUGUCAGGGAUCCGCGUCACUGGCAUUUUAGGGUAGAAAUUUUGGGAUAGGGGUUAUUUUCUAGUUUGUGUGCUCACAUUGCUCGGCAUGAUGGAGUCCCUGCUCUGACUGGAGCCUAUAGCUUGGACUGGAAUAUGAAGAAAGAAAAAUGUCAGCAGCAUAGUGACUCUUUGGGAAUGGGGUUCAUUCUUCAGGGAGAUCUUUUGUGCUUCUAAAGUUUGAGCAUUGUGGGUUGAGGGAAAGGCAUUAUUAUCUACCAUAGUUCCUUUCCUGAGAUGAAAUAAGACUUCAGUAUGCUUGGCAUUAAAGUAUGCUUUUAAAAUGAUCUUUUGCAGUAUAUUUUGUUUCAUAUAUCUACCAAGUGGGGGAAUAAAAUGUCAUACUUAAGGGUUUACUCAUCAUGCGGCUUCUCUUGUUUCAAUGAAAAUAAUUGAUCCCAGGCAUGUAUAUGCAAUAGUGCUUUGCAAGGAGCCACAUACUGUACCUAAUGCUACGUACUGUACUCACAGACUAGAACUUUGUGUCAACCUGUGUGAAUUAUUUGCAAGACAAAAUACAAAGGAAUUCUCUCCAGGGUAACACUGAGGUUACAGCAGUUCAUUUGGCAAAGGGGAAUCAGUUUCUGGGCUUGUGGGGUGGUCCUAGUUCAAAUAUGAGUGUGCCAGGAGCAGAUACUAAAAAGAAGAGUAAAAUACAUAUUACAGAAGGUCAGCAGCAAUGCUCUAUUCCAGUGCAUGCUACAGACAGCCUGCUGGGGAUGAGCUUCUGCCACGGCUGUGCAGGGAUGCAGUGCACAGUAAUGCUGACUUCGACUGCACUGCGGUGCUGGUGAUGCAGGAAGGGCUUGUUCCCUUCUCUCCUCUUCACUUCCCCAUCCCAUCCUGCUUGCAAAUGUGGCUUGAUGUAUUUGAGGGUGGCAGAACUGUUGGGAUGACAGGGAGAGGGCACCCACGCACCCUUCCUACGGGUGAUGAUAGACACACACGAAGAGGGAGCGUGUUUCUGGGUUAGAUGCUACCUCCCCACCUCUGCCCACUCUUGUGACAGCACAGCUUCAUCAACCUUUAAGUUCAGAUGCCCUGAUUCACCAUGAAACUUGUGUCAUGUUGCAAAACCCUCUUAUGUUGUCAAGUCAGACCUCACUGAAAUUGCUUUCUGUAGGGAAACCCUCAUAGCUGCCGUGCACAUCGGUGAAAGCAUGCAUGCGUCAACCCAAACCGUGCACUUGCUGGAUGUAUCUGGACCCAAACUGCUGUCAGCUAAUUUGGUUGGGUUUUUUUUCACACUAAGACUUCUCUAGCCACAUGUCGACCCUGUACAGAAGAGCGUGGCCUAGGGAGCCUCUUUAGUGCACUGAAAUGUCAACUCAGUGCAACUCAGAUCCCAAAAGGUAUAUGGGGUGUAUAUGCAGGCCUUAUACAGGUGUACAUGGUAUGUAUACGCAGGCCUUGCAGCCCUGCCCCUUAGCCUUGUACCACACUCUUCUUCAUGGUAAAGAUGCAGUGCUGUCUUACUCCCACUCUACCCUCCACCUUGGUGAGAAUUCAUCUCAUCUCAGGGAAGCCCAUGGGCUCAUCCAACUCCCUGACGCCCCACGCCCAAAGGGAGGGCAGACAACACGGGAGGAGCUGCAGAGAGAGUGCCUCUGUAUUGAGGGUCAGAGUCACCAGGGAUCCAACAGCAACAAACCAUGGGGUCUGUAGGCUGCUCAGCACUGUGCAGUAGGCAGGCUUGAUGUAUUUCAGCAAUGGCCAAAAUGGAUACACCCAAUAGUUCGUAGCAAAUCUGGGGAAAUCUAGAUUUCCCUGAGUAGUUUAACAGUUACAUAGUCUUUCUGAUAACAUAAGUCAACCCCAAAUUUGCAUUAAAUAGAAAAGGUUUAUGUUUCUUUGCUUAACCUUUAAAUUACUUUUAUUAUAUACCUUCAUGUCCUUGCUUUGUCUUCGUUUCUGACCCUGUUUUCUCAGCCACCAUUCCAGCACCGGGUGACAGCCUACCUUUGCAAUAUUUCUGAUGUGAUUCAAGCCAGAAAGGGCUGGCUCUACGUGAUGGAAACUUCCAGACUUCAUAGGUGUUUCAAAACAUGAACUACAGUUUUCACAUUAUGUUCCCUUGCCAACCAACUGCCCAAGAAAUCCCAAGACCUGAAGAUGAACAAACAUUUUCUGUACAUGAUGUCCUAGAGAAAGGAACCCCAGGCAGGGGUACUGACUGGCAUUGUGCAUGAAUUCUGCUGAGGACAUCAGCAUUGCAGAGCCAGAGAUGGGCAUCUCGGUCCAGCUGGUCCAUCCCAAGGACAAUUGUAUAUACAGUAUGUAUAGCUAUUUUUGCUCCUUUUUUUGAGCAAGUGUAAGGAUGCCUCCCUUCAAAAUAGCUCCAUACAACACAACAGUGUGUGCGGGAGUGUUUCUUACUAGAUACUUGGAUUUCUGCUGAGUUACGAAAAGUGAUGGCCUACAGAGAAUUGACAUGAUCCUCUAUCACCUGCAUCAAGUGUGUUGACACCUAAUAAUCUUAUCCUUUCAUACUCUGUAACAGUUUGUGAAAUCUGCCUCUGUCCAUCUUUUGAGCUUGGUUCUGGGGACCAAGUCUGUCUGCGUGUAUCUUUGUCAACCUCUCUAAGAUUGAUAUGACCUCCUUUUUUUUUUUUUUUUCUUUUUUCCUCUUUGACCUUAUGUAUGAACUCCUGCAGCCAUAGGAAAUGGAAGGAAAUAUCUUGCAUCAGGUAUAGAGAUAAAAAUCAUCUUUGUAAAUAUCAUUCUUUGAAAAACACAAACAAGCAAAAUGAUGGCAUCCUGUGACAAAACAGAUUUUCCCAUCUGAGCCAAGUGCUGAGGGAAGGUCUGGGUGGGAGGGGUGGAUUCCUCACUCCCCAUAUCUGUCCUAAACUACUGUUGCGAAGUGGGAAGGAGAUCGGGGAAGGGAAAAGCAUCCAGGUGUUUUAUUAUGUUUAGACCUCCUGUGUCUUUCUCAGGCUGGCUAAAGCAUCUGCAAGACACAGUCACCGCCGCUUGAGCAAUCUGGGGCUGGGACAGCCCCAGGGAGUGUCUGUGCCCUGUGUGUGGCGGGACUGUGUGAUGAGGGUUUGCACAACCUGGGCCAGACAGUUUCCCCUGUUGCAGAGCGGGGUGAAGCAGCUGUUGUGAGAGCCAGAUGGAUGGCAGUAAGCUGAGGGCAUGUGAGACCCUCAUUUCCCAUUCCCUGCUGCCCCCAGACACAACCUGACUCCUGGCCUGGCACUGUGUCUCCUCUCGCAUUGGGGUUCACAUCUGAAGAGGAACUGCUGCACCAAACCAGGGAUGCAAUGGGAUGAGUGAGGCAAAACCAGAGUCCCUCAGCCUCCCCUGCAGCCCCUUCUCCCCCUUCUUUGCCCAGCAAGUGCUUGACUGGGUUUUUUGCCAACAUCUGUUUUCUAAAAAUGACACGACCGUUCAUUCUUUCCAUUUCUAGACAUCACUGAGAAAUGGAGGGCUGGGAGGGAAGCUGUGGCCACUUGGUGUGACUGCCAGCAGCUGUGGUAAGCCACUUGGACCUGAAGCAAAUACAAGGACAACUGCUCCAACCUCCUCAUACCAGAAGCCACAAAAGCCCUGCAAGAUGCUAAAACAAGCUUGAAGACUUCAGUGACAAAGACUCAGAUGCUUAGAGACUUCACUUGUACCACAGCUAGAAAGCAGGAGGGGUCAUUUCAAUCUUAGGUGCUUUCAGUGCAAGUAGGUCAUGGCCAAAGUUGCUGAGAAAUAAAAACAAUCCUUUCCACACUCCAACAGCCAAAGGCAAUAUGAGGGCAAUAGAGAUGUAUCUCAAAGAUUUGGAAACAAGGACUUUCUCCUAAAUUGUACUGGCAAUUUUCCUGCAAGAAGUAAACUUGACUUGUCCUGUACAUUGGCAGCCACAGCUUAGAGACCUUUCCUUGUGUCUUUGUUUACAUGUAGCUGAAUACAUGCAAAUUUUCCAGUAGCUACUCAGCACGUUUCCAGGUCUUGGUAGAAAGGUGUAUCUUAAAGUGGGAUUAAGACCGGCAACUCAUCUGAGGUCAAGAUUAGCAGUGAAAUUUUGUUUGGCUAGCCAGAUCACUAACUACACCGUACUGCAAGAUUUCCAGUUUAGCUGGCCUGGCCCAGCUGUUGAGGUAACAGGGCAGUUUUGCACCUUUCAACAAUGCUGUGGGUUUAUUUCCCAGCAGAAAUACUUGAACUCUGUCCAAGUGAGUGAUUGAAUACUGCCUCUUGCUUUUCUCCCUCAGCACAGGAGGACAAGAAAGCCCGCUUGGAAGAGAGCUUGCAUUUCUUUCCGCCUUGCUGUCUGAAGGCAUGUCAGCUCAGCUGCCUCUUAUCACUCCAAUCUCUGUCAGUCUGAGUCUCUGGUGUUAAGGGAGUUUAAGACCACACAGAAUCAGAUGUUACAUUAGAUGGAUAACAUGAGACAAGGACCAAAGAUGAGGCUAACCCUGAGAACUGUGCAGAGGGAAAGCCAAUAUUGCAGUAGCUGCAAGGCUAAUGCACCAUGGCUGAUGCUUUCAAUGCAUACUUCUUCAAUACCAUGAUGCUAUUUUUUGUAUUUUGUAAAAACAAUUUGAAAAUUUUAGUGAGAUAUUUGGCAAAAUUCUGCUAAUUAAUUUUGGUAUCACUGUGUGUUUCUUCUUUUUUUUUUUCUUUUAUCAGAAUAUUACCCUGUCACUUAUUGCACCAUAACAAUCCUUUCAAGAGGGCUAAAAAGAUUAAAUCCACUACUCCAGUGUCAAGGAGCUAGGCUAUGAAAACAUAAUUUUAUGAGCUGCUGCCAAACAGUGAGUUAUGAAAGAUUCACCAUGACCAGUGAGGAGACCACAUAUGACCUUCUCUAAAAGUCUUUAGAGUAUAAAUAUUUUGUAUAUCAGCUGUGUAAAAUACCAAUGCAGUGAGCGUGUGUAAGAAUGCUGACCAGGCUGCAGCACGUCUGACUGACCACCAAGGCAGCCUGGGCUGUGAUGGAUGUAGGCUGGGAGUCUUCUGCUGUGGAACAGGCAGUGACAAGGGAUUUCUAGGAUUAUUCUAAAAAAAUAACAUCACCAACUCCUGAACGCAGAAGGAGUCUCAUAGCACUUGAAACCCCUAAAACUUGCUUUAAAAACUGGUGGUGUUCUGUUUACUUAAGCACCUCCCCAGUCCUAAAUCAGUACCCGCAGAUGUCCUCAGUACAAGCAGCGCAAAGGUUAAAAAAUGAAGUAUUGGUAGCUCUGAGAGAUUCUCCCAGUGCUGGUGACCCUUACUGUGGGCCCAGUACUGACCCAGUUGUCACCAGGUAAAAGCUGACAGUGGCCUUUGAUGCAUUUUUACUUUACACCACACACCCCACGCACAACGUAUAUUAUAGAAAAGGUGAGAAUAGGCAAUACCCUUUGUUCACUGAACUAGCAGUGAACUAGCCUUAAUUUGGGUGAUUUUCUAUCAUUUCAAGGUCUAGUUUACCAUUUCAUUUUGGCACUUAUCUGCCUUGAUUUAUCAGGGAAAAAGACAAUCCAGUGCUAGCUAUCUUGGAAAGGUUUUGUUCCCCACGGCUUUGACAAGAUCCUUGCUUGAAAGUUCUUUGUCUUUCUACACAAUUCUCUCCCCAUUUCCUUCCUGACUGCUUUUGCUCAAACAUGAAAUAACCCACACCAAACAGCAACAUUUUUUUUUCAUCAGAAAUAUAGAUUCCUAACAAAGCUAUCUCUGAAAGUACAAGUGGCUGAGAAUGGCUCAACAGGAGCUGUGUCUCUGCUCAGAGAUGCAAAGGGACCGGCCAGCUGUAAAGAUACUCCAGAAGAGCUUUAAUCCAUCAUACUGAUGGUGAGAACGGUGAUAACCAAUAGCAGAAGGGUUUGGUGCUGUUUUUGUUCCUUAAAUCAUCUGGUGUUUGUAAGAUGUAAGGCACGUUUGAACCAUAACAGCACCCAUACAUGCCCCAACAAAAGCUCCCUGUAUCUCAGCACCCUUUCUCUGCUAGUGCAAUCUGCAGGUCCUCAGUGAAAAGGGAGAGGUAUUUCUCAGACACAGCCUCCCAAAUUCCAGCUGUCCAUGGCUCAGGGAACCAAAGAUGCCCUUAUUCAUGUCCUUCGUGAACUCUUCUUCCAUGAAUUGGUGAAAAUUGGUUUACUGAUGUCCCACUCCCUUUUAUCUCAUAUCUCAAACCAAAAUAAAAAAUGAAAAGUUCGAGCCAGAGAAUGAGGAGCUGUGGGUCACGGCCUCAGAUGGUAGCAGGAAUGCUGGGAGAAGAGUGAAAAGAAAGGAAACAAAACAAGUUUGCUGUGCAUCCUCAUGCUAUUUUAUGGCUUAGCAAUGUCAGAAUCGGCUCCUGCUUGUAAAUUCCAAGAGUUUCAAAGAUUAUGUUUUCAGAUAUUGUUAUUUCAGAGAAAUAUUAUUUCUAUCAAACGUAUAUCUGUAUAUUUUCUACUUGAGUGCCGGCUGUCUAAAGAAGGCAUAGCACAAAUACUGCAUGACUUGAGUAACUGAUUACACUUCAUUAAGAGCAACUAUUGUAUAUCUAAAAAGUCCAGGGCAGGAGCAGCCUACAGGAAAACACAUCCCCGUAAUCCUUAAAAAUAAUCAACCAAUUCCCAGAAAUUAGGGAAUGAUUGGAGGGCUAUACUGAUUAAAUGAUUUAUCCAGAACAGAUGAUUUGGUUACUCUAAUUAACAAAAAUAUGUGGAGAGAAGC